rnacentral:rRNA from 1 species
AGACAGCAGUAGCCGCGGUAAUACGUAGGUGGCAAGCGUUGUCCGGAAUUAUUGGGCGUAAAGGGCUCGCAGGCGGUUUCUUAAGUCUGAUGUGAAAGCCCCCGGCUCAACCGGGGAGGGUCAUUGGAAACUGGGAAACUUGAGUGCAGAAGAGGAGAGUGGAAUUCCACGUGUAGCGGUGAAAUGCGUAGAGAUGUGGAGGAACACCAGUGGCGAAGGCGACUCUCUGGUCUGUAACUGACGCUGAGGAGCGAAAGCGUGGGGAGCGAACAGGAUUAGAUACCCGUGUAGUCCCUGUCUCUUAUAC